rnacentral:rRNA from 1 species
GACGAACGCUGGCGGCGUGCUUAACACAUGCAAGUCGAACGGAAAGGCCCUGCUUUUGUGGGGUGCUCGAGUGGCGAACGGGUGAGUAACACGUGGAUAACCUACCUAUAAGACUGGGAUAACUUCGGGAAACCGGAGCUAAUACCGGAUAAUAUAUUGAACCGCAUGGUUCAAUAGUGAAAGACGGUUUUGCUGUCACUUAUAGAUGGAUCCGCGCCGCAUUAGCUAGUUGGUAAGGUAACGGCUUACCAAGGCGACGAUGCGUAGCCGACCUGAGAGGGUGAUCGGCCACACUGGAACUGAGACACGGUCCAGACUCCUACGGGAGGCAGCAGUAGGGAAUCUUCCGCAAUGGGCGAAAGCCUGACGGAGCAACGCCGCGUGAGUGAUGAAGGUCUUCGGAUCGUAAAACUCUGUUAUUAGGGAAGAACAAAUGUGUAAGUAACUAUGCACGUCUUGACGGUACCUAAUCAGAAAGCCACGGCUAACUACGUG